AGGAGGAGGAGGAAGAGGAAGAGAACAAUUUUGAUACUAAGGGCCACAAGAGCAAGCACGAUUUCUACCAUGCUUACAAUCACCAGGCACACUGAACUGAAUGAAUGCAAUAAUCCUGUGAAGUGGAUACUAUUGUUUCCUCCCAUUUUAUAGAUGAGGAAACCAAAGCUUUGAGAGGUUAAACAACUUGACAAGAUCACGUAACAGGUUUUCUUCAUGAGGAAAAACACAUCGUUUACACUUAAAAUUACAAAGGAAGACGAGUGAUUACGAGUCUCUGAAGACAGGGACAAAUGGACUGUAUUGAGGCAGGAUAAGUGGGCUUGGUCUCACGUAACCAAAUAGUACCGAAGACGGCGCGAGGCCAAACAGAACAAGUGUGUCUACUCUGUGACCAGGUGUCUGUGACAUCCGGAAGAAAAGCACCAGAGACAAAGAGUCCAGAUCAAGAGCCGGGUCUGGGAGUCCAGUGUCAGCUCCACGGAAGACCAGCAGCUGCAAGCCCUUGGGUGGGUUGCUUGACUUCUCUUGAGUUUUUGUUUCUGCAUCCCCCAAGGAGAUUUU